rnacentral:rRNA from 1 species
AGGACGAACGCUGGCGGCGCGCUUAAUACAUGCAAGUCGAGCGAGAACCAGGGCUUCGGCCCUGGGGACAGCGGCGAACGGGUGAGUAACACGUGGGUAAUCAACCCCCGACACCGGGAUAGCCCAGGGAAACUUGGAUUAAUACCGGAUGCUCCAUCUGGCUUUCGAGCCGGCUGGAAAAGGGUAGCUUCGGCCUCCGGUCGGGGACGAGCCCGCGGCGGAUUAGCUUGUUGGUGAGGUAAAGGCUCACCAAGGCGACGAUCCGUAGCUGGUCUGAGAGGACGAUCAGCCACACUGGGACUGAGACACGGCCCAGACUCCUACGGGAGGCAGCAGUAGGGAAUCUUGCGCAAUGGGCGAAAGCCUGACGCAGCGACGCCGCGUGGGGGAUGAAGGCCUUCGGGUUGUAAACCCCUUUCAGCAGGGACGAAGCGAAAGUGACGGUACCUGCAGAAGAAGCGCCGGCUAACUACGCGCCAGCAGCCGCGGUAA